GGAUUGCCCUAGUAACGGCGAGUGAAGCGGCAACAGCUCAAAUUUGAAAUCUGGCCUCUUUUGGGGUCCGAGUUGUAAUUUGCAGAGGGCGCUUUGGCGUUGGCAGCGGUCCAAGUUCCUUGGAACAGGACGUCACAGAGGGUGAGAAUCCCGUACGUGGUCGCUGGCCUUCGCCGUGUAAAGCCCCUUCGACGAGUCGAGUUGUUUGGGAAUGCAGCUCUAAAUGGGAGGUAAAUUUCUUCUAAAGCUAAAUACUGGCCAGAGACCGAUAGCGCACAAGUAGAGUGAUCGAAAGAUGAAAAGCACUUUGGAAAGAGAGUCAAACAGCACGUGAAAUUGUUGAAAGGGAAGCGCUUGCAGCCAGACUUGCCUGUAGUUGCUCAUCCGGGCUUUUGCCCGGUGCACUCUUCUAUAGGCAGGCCAGCAUCAGUUUGGGCGGUUAGAUAAAGGUCUCUGUCAUGUACCUCUCUUCGGGGAGAACUUAUAGGGGAGGCGACAUGUAACCAGCCCAGAUUGAGGUCCGCGCAUUUGCUAGGAUGCUGGCGUAAUGGCUGUAAGCGGCCCGUCUUGAAACACGGACCAAGGAGUCUAACAUCUAUGCGAGUGUUUGGGUGUCAAGCCCGAGCGCGCAAUGAAAGUGAACGGAGGUGGGAACCCCUCGGGGUGCACCAUCGACCGAUCCUGAUGUCUUCGGAUGGAUUUGAGUAAGAGCAUAGCUGUUGGGACCCGAAAGAUGGUGAACUAUGCUUGAAUAGGGUGAAGCCAGAGGAAACUCUGGUGGAGGCUCGCAGCGGUUCUGACGUGCAAAUCGAUCGUCAAAUUUGGGCAUAGGG
rnacentral:rRNA from 1 species